AUCGCUUCUCGGCCUUUUGGCUAAGAUCAAGUGUAGUACCUUUUGGAACCACUUGGUCUUCUGGCUGGCAAGACCAAAGAGGAGUAUCUGUUCUAAUGAUCCUAUCUGAAGAACAGAGAAACCAUU
rnacentral:snRNA from 1 species